rnacentral:rRNA from 1 species
AUGAACGCUGGCGGCGUGCCUAAUCCAUGCAAGUCGAGCGAACAGACGAGGAGCUUGCUCCUCUGACGUUAGCGGCGGACGGGUGAGUAACACGUGGAUAACCUACCUAUAAGACUGGGACAACUUCGGGAAACCGGAGCUAAUACCGGAUAAUAUAUUGAACCGCAUGGUUCAAUAGUGAAAGACGGUUUUGCUGUCACUUAUAGAUGGAUCCGCGCCGCAUUAGCUAGUUGGUAAGGUAACGGCUUACCAAGGCAACGAUGCGUAGCCGACCUGAGAGGGUGAUCGGCCACACUGGAACUGAGACACGGUCCAGACUCCUACGGGAGGCAGCAGUAGGGAAUCUUCCGCAAUGGGCGAAAGCCUGACGGAGCAACGCCGCGUGAGUGAUGAAGGUCUUCGGAUCGUAAAACUCUGUUAUUAGGGAAGAACAAAUGUGUAAGUAACUAUGCACGUCUUGACGGUACCUAAUCAGAAAGCCACGGCUAACUACGUG